AGUGAGCAACCCAGUGGGCUAUGGAAAUGUGUGGAAGAUGGCAUUUCUAUUUCUCAGUGGGGCUCUUACC
ensembl:miRNA MIR4482 microRNA 4482